rnacentral:lncRNA from 1 species
AAGUCGGUUUAUCUCCAUCUAUUACAGCUGCCUUUUUUUUUUCUUUGGGUGAAUCGCACUUCAACCAAUGUCCCAUGGCCAUGUAUUAGCCACUAGAAUCCACGUUUCCACCUUGCGGCGGAUGAUACCAUACGCCUUUUGCCGCAUUUAGAUUCCUCGUGGUUCCAAUGCUAUUCGCAAAUUCCCAUUUCAUGAAUGUUAAUCACAACGCACCGACU